rnacentral:misc_RNA from 1 species
UCAUUCAAAACAAACAACUGAGAAACCA